AUGUAUCUGAUCAUCUUAACAGGGAAGCAUCAUAAACCAGAGCAGAGUGCUGUUUACUCUGAGGUGAAGACGGGAGCUGCAGAGGACAGUCUGAUGUAUGCUGAGGUCAAACAGCCCAAAAAAGAAAAAGCCAAGAAAAACAAAGGUGAGCAAAGUCUGCCAUCAUCUCCACUGAAUAUUGUUCAACAUGUUUAUCUGCUCUUAAAAUGUAAAUCUGUUUAUUUUAAUAUUUAUAUUUAUGUAUUCAUUAGUUGGUUAAUAAAAUCUAUCAUACUCGUUUAUCUUUGCAUUAGUGGAGACAUGAAGUUUCCUCCUGGUUAAUGAUAUUAUUGUUUUCAAUGAUCUUCUCUUCAUUCACAGGAAAAUCAAGUCCUGCAGCUGAUGCAGCAGUUUAUUCUGAAGUCACAUCAGGAAGCUCUCUCAGUAAUUCUGCUGCCAUGCAGGCUGAUUUAUUCUUCACAUUAUUAAAUGUCUUCAGCUCAUAAUAUCUUUACUUGUUGGAAAUCACUUUGUCUUUUUGUGCUUGUCUUACAGGUCAGUGAGGAGAGCUGUAGCAGCAAAGCCAAGAAGAAGCUUUUUAUGAAGCCACUCUUGCUCCUCUGCUCCCCAAAUAUCAGACAUGCUCAGGUUUAUGUACAGUUACAAUAUUAAAUCAUUAUAUCAUACAGUUUAGUAUAAAACAAAUGUAGGUGUAUUCCUAUUUAAUAUUCAUGCUCUCUAUAUUCAGUUAUAUUUCUUAAAGAUUUUGUAAUAAACCUUGAAUGUAUCUAACAUGUUCCAACAGUGGUGAGAACAAAGUGUGAAAUAUGUGAUCUUUAGUAUCUGACAGCACAACUUAAAGUCAGUGUUUGCAGUGUUUCACAAGUAAAUACUGAUAUGGGACCAACACAAACUUUAACUGUGUUUGUCUAAAGAUUUCAUACAUUAUAUAAAUAAGAAAUAUAUGAUGGGCAGUGAAUACAUUUGAAUAUAUGAAUACAUGUGUUUUAUGUAUCUAUUUUGUCUCUGAUCUUUUUAUUCAUUUAUUGUUAGAAGGGAAAAAGUAAAAUCUUUUUAAAGUUUAACUUUUAAUGUUUAUGUUUGAUUUUUUUUUUCUGUAUGAGAUUAUCCACAAACUAACAACACAAACACGUAAACAGUUUGCAUCAGCGUUGUCAUGGAAACCUGAAAUAAACAGAUGUGAGUAUGAUUUGCAAAGUGGUCACUAAGUACAGAGCAUGACAGCAGUCUGCAUGUAUCUGACACAGAGGACUGAAGCAGAACAUUUACAGAGAGAAGCUCUCUGUGUGCUGCUGUCACAGGAUGCAGUCAAAGGAAAAGAGAACUUGUACAUGUGGUAAAUCAGCACGACUCAGAGAAGUAGCAGUAUUAUAAUUUUCCAUAACACUCACUUUUGAGCAUUAACUGUUCACACAAGAAUUUAUUAAUAUGACACAAAUAUCAGAGCUAAAAAUCCAGACAGGUUCAACAGAGAACAAUACAGAAACAAAACAUCUCUUUGACCCUGCAGAGUCUCAUUCUUUAGUCACAGUAAGGUGAGAUACUGUCAGGAGGAGGGCACAGGUCAGGGUCCUGCUCAGUCAGGUGUAUACUUAACCAGCUGGGUCGAGCUAGCUUGGCAUUUUCCUCUGCAAAAUCACCAUAAACACUGCUGAUCAUGUGCUCUAAUAACUCAACUGUAUGUGCUGUAGAUGGGUUUCCCUCUUCACUAUCAAUCAUGCACUUGUCUUAUAAAGUAGGAGAGCAACAAGCACACUGGUGACUUUUUUGUCCUGUCACCAUUUGUAACUAAUUUGUUGACCUUCAGUUAUUUUAGUUUCCAAUAAAAUCUCAUUUUUAAUCACGUUCUGAUGUUAUAUGGUCUGAAUGCAGUCCUGUGUUCCUGUUGAUUUAAUUAAGCGGUAAAUGCAAAAGUAACAGCAUGUUUUAUGAUGUAUUUAAU
ensembl:lncRNA